GAGCCAGACUCCUACGGGAGGCAGCAGUGGGGGAUAUUGCACAAUGGGGGAAACCCUGAUGCAGCGACGCCGCGUGAGUGAAGAAGUAUUUCGGUAUGUAAAGCUCUAUCAGCAGGGACGAAAAUGACGGUACCUGAGUAAGAAGCCCCGGCUAACUACGUGCCAGCAGCCGCGGUAAUACGUAGGGGGCAAGCGUUAUCCGGAUUUACUGGGUGUAAAGGGAGCGUAGACGGCGAAGCAAGUCUGAAGUGAAAACCCGGGGCUCAACCCUGGGACUGCUUUGGAAACUGUUUUGCUAGAGUGUCGGAGAGGUAAGUGGAAUUCCUAGUGUAGCGGUGAAAUGCGUAGAUAUUAGGAGGAACACCAGUGGCGAAGGCGGCUUACUGGACGAUAACUGACGUUGAGGCUCGAAAGCGUGGGGAGCAAACAGGAUUAGAUACCCUUGUAG
rnacentral:rRNA from 1 species